GACGAACGCUGGCGGCGUGCUUAACACAUGCAAGUCGAACGAAGUGGCGAACGGGUGAGUAACGCGUGAGUAACCUGCCUUUGACAUUGGGAUAGCCUCGGGAAACUGGGAUUAAUACCAAAUGGGCAAAGAUGGACUCGCGGCUGAUUAGCUAGUUGGUGAGGUAACGGCCCACCAAGGCGACGAUCAGUAGCCGGCCUGAGAGGGUGGCCGGCCACAUUGGAACUGAGACACGGUCCAAACUCCUACGGGAGGCAGCAGUGGGGAAUAUUGCACAAUGGGGGAAACCCUGAUGCAGCUACGCCGCGUGUAUGAAGAAGGCCUUCGGGUUGUAAAGUACUUUCAGCGGGGAGGCGUUACUCGCAGAAUAAGCACCGGCUAACUCCGUGCCAGCAGCCGCGGUAAUAC
rnacentral:rRNA from 1 species